rnacentral:rRNA from 1 species
GACAGAGGUCCCAAGCGUUAGGCGGAAUCACUGGGCUUAAAGCGUGUGUAGGCGGAGUUCUAAGUACCUUGUGAAAUCCCACGGCUUAACCGUGGAACUGCUCGGUAUACUGGUUCUCUUGGGCCAUCUAGGGGCGAGUGGAACAAACGGUGGAGCGGUGAAAUGCGUAGAUAUCGUUUGGAACGCCAACGGUGAAAACAGCUCGCUGGGGAUGUGCCGACGCUGAGACACGAAAGCCAGGGGAGCGAACGGG